UACGUAGGGGGCAAGCGUUGUCCGGAUUUACUGGGCGUAAAGAGCGUGUAGGCGGCCAAGCAGGUCCGUUGUGAAAACUGGAGGCUUAACCUCCAGACGUCGACGGAAACCGCGUGGCUAGAGUCCGGAAGAGGAGAGUGGAAUUCCUGGUGUAGCGGUGAAAUGCGCAGAUAUCAGGAGGAACACCGAUUGCGAAGGCAGCUCGCUGGGACGUAACUGACGCUGAGACGCGAAAGCGUGGGGAGCAAACAGG
rnacentral:rRNA from 1 species